rnacentral:piRNA from 1 species
UCAGAUCCUGGUACGAGAUGGCCCCU